rnacentral:rRNA from 1 species
CCAGACUCCUACGGGAGGCAGCAGUGGGGGAUAUUGGACAAUGGGGGGAACCCUGAUCCAGCGACGCCGCGUGAGUGAAGAAGUAUCUCGAUAUGUAAAGCUCUAUCAGCAGGGAAGAAAGAAAUGACGGUACCUGAGUAAGAAGCCCCGGCUAACUACGUGCCAGCAGCCGCGGUAAUACGUAGGGGGCAAGCGUUAUCCGGAAUUACUGGGUGUAAAGGGAGCGUAGACGGUGAAGUAAGUCUGGAGUGAAAGGCGGGGGCCCAACCCCCGGACUGCUCUGGAAACUAUUUGACUGGAGUGCAGGAGAGGUAAGCGGAAUUCCUAGUGUAGCGGUGAAAUGCGUAGAUAUUAGGAGGAACACCAGUGGCGAAGGCGGCUUACUGGACUGUAACUGACGUUGAGGCUCGAAAGCGUGGGGAGCAAACAGGAUUAGAUACCCUAGUA